AUUGAACGCUGGCGGCAUGCCUUACACAUGCAAGUCGAACGGUAACGGGCCUUCGGGUGCCGACGAGUGGCGAACGGGUGAGUAAUGUAUCGGAACGUACCUUUCAGUGGGGGAUAACGUAGCGAAAGUUACGCUAAUACCGCAUAUUCUGUGCGCAGGAAAGCAGGGGAUCGCAAGACCUUGCGCUGAUUGAGCGGCCGAUAUCAGAUUAGCUAGUUGGUGAGGUAAAGGCUCACCAAGGCGACGAUCUGUAGCGGGUCUGAGAGGAUGAUCCGCCAGACUGGAGCUGAGACACGGUCCAGACGCCUACGGGAGGCAGCAGUGGGGAAUGUUGGACAAUGGGGGCAACCCUGAUCCAGCCGUGCCGCGUGAGUGAAGAAGGCCUUCGGGUUGUAAAGCUCUUUCGGCCGGGAAGAAAUCGCAUGGGCUAAUACCCUGUGCGGAUGACGGUACCGGCAUAAGAAGCACCGGCUAACUACGUGCCAGCAGCCGCCGUAACAC
rnacentral:rRNA from 1 species